UACAUAGGGAGCAAGCGUUGUUCGGAUUUACUGGGCGUAAAGGGCGCGUAGGCGGCAAAUUAAGUCAGCUGUGAAAUCUCCGAGCUUAACUCGGAACGGUCAGCUGAUACUGAUCUGCUAGAGUGCGGAAGGGGCAAUCGGAAUUCUUGGUGUAGCGGUGAAAUGCGCAGAUAUCAGGAGGAACACCGGUGGCGAAGGCGGAUCUCUGGGCCAUUACUGACGCUGAGGAGCGAAAGCGUGGGGAGCGAACAGG
rnacentral:rRNA from 1 species